GUGGGAGGGGGCUUGCUCCCGAUGACGGCGUGUCAGUCAAGGAAGCUUUGAUUGACACACUGCCAUCGGGAGCAAGCCCCCUCCCAC
rnacentral:misc_RNA from 1 species